UAGUGCUAACUUAUGUUAAUCAUUCAUAUUUUUGAAAUAACAAAUAAUAAUGUAGUCGUAUUAAUGAAAUAUUGAAGUCGUGUGUGUAUACCAGGAGCAUUGUUCCAGGAGAGGUUUGCGCUCAACUGGGUUCCCAUUCCGCCCUCCCCUGUGAACAACUUGUCCAUUUGAAGCUGGCGAUCUCACAGAAUUGGUGAAUAAGAGACAGCAAGCAUCAUCACGACAACGCUAGACCGUACACAUAUUUGAUGACGCGCUAGAAGUUUCGGGAGCUCGGAUGGGAAGUUCUUACGCAUCCACCCUACAGUCCAGACGCCACACCCAGUGACUACUACCUGUGCUUGUAUAUGGGCAACAUACUAUGGUGUACAAAAAAAUAUAAGUGCGAAGACAUUGCAAGGCAAAACAGUAAAAGGCGAAAACGUCUCAAUAUGAAAGUGUCACAACACGAAAACGUAUCAAGGGGAACACGUGAAAGGCAAAAAUGUUCAAGUUGAAUAAUCUUGACACGAUUCCAAGGAUGAUCAAUAAAUAAAUUGUUUAAUUUUUUACUAUAUUUUUUUUUUGCAAAUAACUAAUAUAUAAGUUUUCUGUACCACAUAAUAAAAGUCGAAUGCCUACA
rnacentral:lncRNA from 1 species